rnacentral:rRNA from 1 species
GGAGUUAGGAAAUGUAAGUGCGCUAAUAUCGCAUUUAUUUGACGAAGGCUCCAAAGGGAGCCACGGCUAACUCUGUGCCAGCAGCCGCGGUAAUACAGAGGUGGCAAGCGUUGUUCGGAAUUAUUGGGCGUAAAGAGCACGUAGGUGGAUUUGUAAGUCAGAUGUGAAAGCCUUCUGUUCAACGGAAGAAUUGCAUCUGAAACUACAAGUCUUGAGUGUAGGAGGGGAGAGUGGAACUUCUG